GGAGACGGAUCGGCCUGGGGUCGAGGGAUAGCCUCAAUACCAGGCCGAUUAAUGCGGCCUGAAAUCGAGGCUAGCCAGGGAGGAAUCUAGACUAUCCCUCUCCGGCCUCAUCACUCUGGAUACCAUUAAGAAAUGGGAAAACUACCGAGUCGUACUGUUGUCAAUGCAGAAUCAGCAACUCCGUAUUCUUCACAACUGCAGGAAAAGAACUGCUGGAAAAACAACACAUUAUCGUCCAUAGCAGUUCACCAAAUAUAAGUUCAGCCUCAAUUCAUCAUCAUCAUCUCUAUAAUUAUACCAACCAACGACUCAGGAGCUGGAACAAAAAGGGUCCAAGUCCACCUCAUCAAGCCUCACAUUCUCUCAGCAUGAUCAGACAAGGUAACACAACUAUAAAGAGUCCUUAUCACAAGCUAUACAGACUUUACAGCUCAUAGAUAAACAUCAACUCACUAAAUAUCCUUCGCAAAUUGGAAAAGCGCUUCAAUCCGAGUACAAAAACCUGCAGUUGAGCAUGCACUUAAAAUAAUGAUAAGCUUAUAAUCGACAAGCGCUAAUCAUCCAGUUUCUACGGUAUGUACAUUGAAAACCACUGUAGGUUUGAUGGUAAAUUUCAAACUAUUGAGCCGGGAUUCCACUGGGAUUGCUUAUCCAUAAGUUAUUACCAUGCUGAUACUUCUAAAUUUUAGACAAAAUGACCAUGGGGUCGGGUCGCUGCUGUACAUAAUAUUGGUUCCUUGAAAAUCAUCACUUUCCAGGUUUGUUGUUCAGUUAAAUGUGGAUUUUUGAUUGCUGAGGGCCAGUUAGCUUAUAUUCAAACCUCAUCAUGUAUAGUAUUUUGGAGCUAUAUAAAAAUUAUAUUGUAGAUAUGCCUGCACUUUGUCAAUUAUAAUCGCUAAAGAAUAUUAAGGGAACUCACAAGUCAGAGAAGGACAGUCAGUAGUGAGUGUUGCAUGCAGGGCUAUGCAGGAAAUGCAGGAAAUAUAGUGUCCGUGGUUUAUCUACGCACCUCAGGUUAAUAAAUUAGUAGUCUGUCUGAGUUUGCUCACCUGCAUUGUUCAACUAAAGGCUAUACAUAUACAAUUUAUUGUUACUAUUAUAGACAGGUAGUAAUUUUAGCGUUUUCAGAUUUUUCUCUGUUUUUAGGGUACUACCGUAUAGCGGGUAAUUUUCGUGGGGCAAAAUAUUCAUGAUUUUCGUGGUUGGAGAUCUGACCACGAAUAUUUUACCCACGAAUGAAGCGACCUUACCUACCUUUACCUGCAGUGCAAGCAGCUACCACGAAAGUAUUACCCACGAAAUGUCUCAAUAUUGCUGAACCAUGAAUAUUUUGUCCCCCGAAAAUUACCCGCUAUACGGUAAUUUUGGCGGAUUUGUAACAAAUUCAUUAACAAAAGAUGUACAAGUAUGAGUUUUAAGGUUAAAUGGAAAAAGUUUGGAGUCAGAUACAUAAGAAAAAAGGGCUAACUUGCUUAGCAUACUCUCAUGAAGAAAAAAGUUUUUUUAAUGAGAUUCAUCAUUUUUAAACGCUAAUCAGAUACUUAAUUUAGCGUUAAUUACAAAUUCGCUAAAAUUCACUAAAAUGAAUACCCGUUUAUAAUAGUAACAAUAAGGUAGUGUAUACAUGCUUCAUGUUAUUAUGCCUCGGUGCGCAUAAUAACAUGAAGCAUGUAUACAUGCGGUGCGCAUGCGCAAGCGAGGUAUAGUACGGUAGUGUGUUUGUGUGUCUGUGUCUGUCUGUGUAGACUGCUACAGCUGCUCAAGGAUCAUUGAAAUGCAAGUAAGAGUUUCUAUAGGCUUCUAGUCAUGUUUUCUUGGAUUUUAAUUUGUGGAUUUGUAAAAUUAAUAAUGCUUUGUUCUCGAGUUAUGCCUACUUGGAAUGCCAUUACAGC